rnacentral:rRNA from 1 species
AAUCCAUAGGUUAAUGAGGCGAACCGGGGGAACUGAAACAUCUAAGUACCCCGAGGAAAAGAAAUCAACCGAGAUUCCCCCAGUAGCGGCGAGCGAACGGGGAGGAGCCCAGAGCCUGAAUCAGCAUGUGUGUUAGUGGAAGCGUCUGGAAAGGCGCGCGAUACAGGGUGACAGCCCCGUACACAAAAGCGCAUGUGCUGUGAGCUCGAUGAGUAGGGCGGGACACGUGGUAUCCUGUCUGAAUAUGGGGGGACCAUCCUCCAAGGCUAAAUACUCCUGACUGACCGAUAGUGAACCAGUACCGUGAGGGAAAGGCGAAAAGAACCCCGGCGAGGGGAGUGAAACAGAACCUGAAACCGUG